rnacentral:rRNA from 1 species
UACGUAGGGUGCGAGCGUUAAUCGGAAUUACUGGGCGUAAAGCGUGCGCAGGCGGUCUGUUAAGACCGAUGUGAAAUCCCCGGGCUUAACCUGGGAACUGCAUUGGUGACUGGCAGGCUUUGAGUGUGGCAGAGGGAGGUAGAAUUCCACGUGUAGCAGUGAAAUGCGUAGAGAUGUGGAGGAAUACCGAUGGCGAAGGCAGCCUCCUGAGCCAACACUGACGCUCAUGCACGAAAGCGUGGGGAGCAAACAGG